AAUGAACGCUGGCGGCGCGCCUAAUACAUGCAAGUCGAGCGAGAAGACGUAGCAAUACGUUUGUAAAGCGGCGAACGGGUGAGGAAUACAUGGGUAACCUACCCUCGAGUGGGGAAUAACUAGCCGAAAGGUUAGCUAAUACCGCGUACGCUUCUUGGACUUCGGUUCAGGGAGGAAAGCGAUACCGUGGGUAUCGCGCUCUUGGAUGGGCUCAUGUCCUAUCAGCUUGUUGGUGAGGAACGGCUCACCAAGGCUUCGACGGGUAGCUGGUCUGAGAGGACGAUCAGCCACACUGGCACUGCGACACGGGCCAGACUCCUACGGGAGCAACAGUAAGGAAUAUUGCGCAAUGGGCAAAGCCUGACGCAGCGACGCCGCGU
rnacentral:rRNA from 1 species